UUUUUAAUUAAAAACUAGAAUGAAAGGUUAUACAUUCAAAUUUCUUUAUUAAUUUUUAAUAAAUAAUUUAUAUUAAAUAUAAAAAUAUAUUUAUAAAAAAAAAAGACGACAAGACCCUAUUAAAUUUUACUUAUAGUUUAGCUGGGGAAGCUUUUUAAUUAAAAUUUUUUAAAUUUAAUAAAUAAAAAUCUAAUAAAAUUAAAAUUUUAAUAAAUUACUAUAGGGAUAACAGCAUUAUAUUUUUUUAAAGUUCAUAUUAAAAAAAAAAAUUGUGACCUCGAUGUUGAAUUAUAUUUUCUAUAUUUAAUGCAAUAAUUAUAAAAGUAGAUCUGUUCGAUCUUUAAAAUAUUACAUGAUUUGAGUUCAAACCGGUGUAAACCAGGUUGGUUUCUAUCUUUUUAUAUAUUUUUCUAGUACGAAAGGACAAAAAAAUUUUUAUUUCAAUAAAUUAGCAAAUAAAUGCAUUAGAUUUAGAAUCUAAAUAUAUUUAAUAAUU
rnacentral:misc_RNA from 1 species